rnacentral:lncRNA from 1 species
CUGUAAACAAGUCAAAAUAACACCUGGCAUUUAGCCAGGGGAAUGUUAGAGUUUGUAAACAAGUCUGGAUGGUGCCUGGCAAAAUGCCAGAGGGAGUGGUUUGAGAAGUAACAAAAACAAGCCAUUAAGUGUGGAGAUUCCUUAUUGGUUGACUGAUGUAUCUAGUUUAUGCUAAUUAGAUAAGCUGUGUGGAAUGUAUAAAUACUGCUCCUGUCCUGCAAUAAAC